CCAGUAUUAACUGUGCUGCUGA
rnacentral:ncRNA from 5 species